CAAAUUCGUGUCUAAGGGAGU
rnacentral:miRNA from 1 species